rnacentral:rRNA from 1 species
AACGCGAAGACCUUACCAGCCCUUGACAUGGGCGGCGGGCGAGAGAGGGCUAGUGGCUGGACGCCACACAGGUGCUGCAUGGCUGGAGCGUGGUGAGAUGUUGGGUUAAGCCGCAACGAGCGCAACCCAUAGUUGCCAACGGGUGGCCGGGCACUGAAGAAACUGCCGGUGACAAGCCGGAGGAAGGCGGGGAUGACGAAGCAUGGCCCUUACGGGCUGGGCUACACACGUGCUACAAUGGCGGUGACAGAGGGAGGCGAAGGCGCGAGCUGGAGCGAACCCCGAAAAGCCGAGUGGAUUGCAGUGCAACGACUGCAUGAAGCCGGAAGCUAGUAAGUGGAAGCCAUGCCACGGUGAAUACGUCCGGGUUGUACACACCG